rnacentral:snRNA from 1 species
AUGCUCACUUCAGCAGCACACACACUAAAAUCAGAACAAACUGAAGACUUGCGUAGCCCCUGCUCAAGGAUGACAUACAAAUUCAUCAUGUGUUCCACAUUUUU